rnacentral:lncRNA from 1 species
GUUUUUCAAGGACCGGAAGUCUCCCGUGCUGCGAAAGGAAGUUGAGGUGGGAUGCCGGAGAAGAGUGCGAAGCGAGUCUGCCGUACUGGGAAGGUCGCUCCAAUAAGGACUGGCGUAGCGUUCGGCAGCCGUGCGGAGAACGGCAUGGGAAGAGGAUCGUCUCCUUAAGAGGAGCGUAGAGUGGCGUGGAGAACCGUACCUGAGUCCAGUCAGCUGACGAAGGGUCUUCUUGUGUUCUGGUGGAUUUUAUGUAAACAUGCUUCUCCAUACGGCUGCUGCUUGGAUAAACAGUUGGCGCUUCCACCUCGAUGCAAAGAUGUUGAUAUGGCACAUGGCAGCACAUAUCUAUAGCCGUCCUACUGUAGUAGAGCGCAUCCCGACUGGAGGAUCGUGUGCUGCUUCUUGUGACACUGAAAUGAAGAGAGGCAGAAGCCCAGCCUGCCCAUGCGCAGGCCCUCCUGGUCCGGCGGCUCCAUGGCGGGCGCAGCGCGGAGCUCCUUGCGGGCGGCCAAGAGGCUCUCGG